AUGUAUAGCCAUACCACUUUGAACAUGCCCUGUCUCAUCUGAUCUCGGGAGCCAAACAGGGUUGGGUCUCGUUUGUACUCGGAUGGUAGACAUUCCUAUUAGAUCCAGCUCCAUAAGGUGUUGGCUAUGUAUU
rnacentral:rRNA from 1 species